rnacentral:miRNA from 1 species
CGCGCUGGAUCGUGGAGGAGC